rnacentral:lncRNA from 1 species
AGAGGUUGAGAGAAAGAGGGCUCGAAGGAUCCCUUGUCAUCGUCGGAGGGAUGGAAUUGUAGACCCUAUGGCAUUAGGGCCAAGAGAGAGCGGGAUGAGGCGUACCUAUGAUGCCGGGGAGGGAAAGAGGAUGAGCGUCGAGUCUCAAUGAGGUGACGAGAUGUCGCGAGUGCUAGUGGGAACUAUUCCACGAUCGCGAGUGGUGUGG